AUGCCAAUGGGCUCAGCUGGUUACGUUGAUCUGUCAAGGCAUGUUGUUUCUAUAGAACUGGGACAUAACCUGCAAUUUGUCAUACAAGCUUACUCACAGUCUGGUGCCAUUGCUAGGCAAAGCCGUCUCACGUUUAGGACCAAAUAUUGCAACAUAAGUCAAGGUAUAUGUGAGAUUGGUGACUCUAAGGUGGAGAUUACUGUUGCUUGGUCCCAGCUUAUCAAGAACAAGAUGGAAAUCCUCUAA
rnacentral:rRNA from 1 species